rnacentral:rRNA from 1 species
UUUGACUGCCAAUAAAAGGUCCAGCCUGCCCAGUGACUUUGUUCAACGGCCGCGGUAUCCUAACCGUGCGAAGGUAGCGUAAUCACUUGUUCUUUAAAUAAGGACUAGUAUGAAUGGCAUCACGAGGGUUAUACUGUCUCCUUCCUCUAAUCAGUGAAACUGAUCUUCCCGUGAAGAAGCGGGAAUAAAUUUAUAAGACGAGAAGACCCUAUGGAGCUUCAAACACACUACAAUUGCCCCCCUCUCUGUUAAUCCCCGGAAAACCACAUACCCGGGCACUUUGAUAGCAAGUUUUAGGUUGGGGUGACCGCGGAGCAAAAAACAACCUCCACAGCGAACAGGGCUUUCCCUUAAACUCAGGACUACAACCCUAAGAAUCAAUAAAUUGACACCCAUUGACCCA